rnacentral:rRNA from 1 species
ACGCACGCUGGCGGCGUGCUUCACCCCUGCCAGUCGCACGGAAAGGCCCUGCUUGCAGGGUACUCGAGUGGCGAACGGGUGAGUAACACGUGGGUGAUCUGCCCUGCACUUCGGGAUAAGCCUGGGAAACUGGGUCUAAUACCGGAUAGGAGCCAUUUUUAGUGUGAUGGUUGGAAAGUUUUUUCGGUGUAGGAUGAGCUCGCGGCCUAUCAGCUUGUUGGUGGGGUAAUGGCCUACCAAGGCGGCGACGGGUAGCCGGCCUGAGAGGGUGGACGGCCACAUUGGGACUGAGAUACGGCCCAGACUCCUACGGGAGGCAGCAGUGGGGAAUAUUGCACAAUGGGCGCAAGCCUGAUGCAGCGACGCCGCGUGGGGGAUGACGGCCUUCGGGUUGUAAACUCCUUUCGCUAGGGACGAAGCUUUUUGUGACGGUACCUAGAUAAGAAGCACCGGCUAACUACGUG